rnacentral:rRNA from 1 species
UACGGAGGAUGCGAGCGUUAUCCGGAUUUAUUGGGUUUAAAGGGUGCGUAGGCGGAUCGUUAAGUCAGUGGUCAAAUUGAGGGGCUCAACCCCUUCCCGCCAUUGAAACUGGCGGUCUUGAGUGGAAGAGAAGUAUGCGGAAUGCGUGGUGUAGAGGUGAAAUGCAUAGAUAUCACGCAGAACCCCGAUUGCGAAGGCAGCAUGCCGGCUUCCGACUGACGCUGAAGCACGAAAGCGUGGGGAUCGAACAGG